GUAAUGAUGGCCAGGCUGUCUCCACCCGAGACUCAGUGAAAUUGAACUCGCUGUGAAGAUGCAGUGUACCCGCGGCAAGACGGAAAGACCCCGUGAACCUUUACUAUAGCUUGACACUGAACAUUGAGCCUUGAUGUGUAGGAUAGGUGGGAGGCUUUGAAGUGUGGACGCCAGUCUGCAUGGAGCCGACCUUGAAAUACCACCCUUUAAUGUUUGAUGUUCUAACGUGGACCCGUGAUCCGGGUUGCGGACAGUGUCUGGUGGGUAGUUUGACUGGGGCGGUCUCCUCCUAAAGAGUAACGGAGGAGCACGAAGGUUGGCUAAUCCUGGUCGGACAUCAGGAGGUUAGUGCAAUGGCAUAAGCCAGCUUGACUGCGAGCGUGACGGCGCGAGCAGGUGCGAAAGCAGGUCAUAGUGAUCCGGUGGUUCUGAAUGGAAGGGCCAUCGCUCAACGGAUAAAAGGUACUCCGGGGAUAACAGGCUGAUACCGCCCAAGAGUUCAUAUCGACGGCGGUGUUUGGCACCUCGAUGUCGGCUCAUCACAUCCUGGGGCUGAAGUAGGUCCCAAGGGUAUGGCUGUUCGCCAUUUAAAGUGGUACGCGAGCUGGGUUUAGAACGUCGUGAGACAGUUCGGUCCCUAUCUGCCGUGGGCGCUGGAGAACUGAGGGGGGCUGCUCCUAGUACGAGAGGACCGGAGUGGACGCAUCACUGGUGUUCGGGUUGUCAUGCCAAUGGCACU
rnacentral:rRNA from 1 species